rnacentral:tRNA from 1 species
GGGUUGUUUGCUCAAAUGGUAGGGCAGGUAACUCCUAAUCACCGGGCCGGGGGUUCGAUCCCCUCACAACCCGCCA